ensembl:lncRNA
AAGAUAUUAGGCAAAUACAAACCAAAAACUUUGUUUUUAAUAUUAUUUAAAGCUGAUUUUAGAGCAAAAGAAUUAAGUCAAGCAAAGAAGGUAAAUGCAUUAAAUUCUAUAAGCCAAAUAAUAUAGUACCUACAUUCAUAAAUCAAAUUAAUAAUUACUAUAAGAAGAAAUAUACAGAAGUCCAUUAUUCUCAGAAACCUUUAUUUCACAUGUCUCAGCCCAGGACAGAUCAAGUGACCAGAGAGAUCUAACUAGUACAGCGAGGCACACCGCCGCAGCGACGGGACGCACCGCGCAGGUGACCUGCCGGGUUCUGUCAGACGGUCCUCCCCGACUCACUUGUCACCUGGAUGGAAGGAAGCCCCUGGCGCAACCUUCCUGAAACCCGCGGGCCAGCCCCUCUCCCCAGCUGCACUGCAGUCCAGCCAGACCCAUGCAGGUGACACUGGGCUGUCCACACAGAACGUCGGGUGCGUGGAUGAGGAUCCCAGUCGCACACAGCCAGAAGGGAGGGUAAUGAGGUUCCUAUUGGGCAGCUUCGUCCUUUCCCUGGGUUUCCUUCCCUGAGAAUGACCUCAGGUCCCACCGCCUCUUUCCCUACAAGACCUGUGACAAUUCCUCCCCAAAUCCACUUUGCAGAACCCACUCAGAGCCUCGCAGUGACACCCACCUUCCCCGGGGUGGGUCUCAUCUCCCAGGGCAGGCAGAUUGCACCCCCAGACAUACACGCCCAGGUCUGCCUUCUUAGGAGGCCUUUGCCUGGACAGGGUCUAAACUGGGCUUUUUCCAAAAGGUUUUUAUAGAAAUCCUAUACCUAGUACCCAUUGCAACUCUGAGUCUACAGUUCUACAGAAGCUACAAAAAUGAACCGAACUUUACCUCCACUUGAGAUGGGGAAGCCAGGUCCCUGGAAGAACGGGUGUCCCGUUCAGUCCUCAAAGCCGAUGGGCGGUCAGCCUGUCCUCAGCCCGUCCUUAGACUUAGAGCCUGACCUUCUGACCAUGAAAGAGCACCUCCCAGUGAGCACCGCCUUUCUGAUUAAAUUGGCUCCUUCAUCUUUAUUUUCUCACUGAUACACUGAAGCUAUACUUUAUCCUGGAAAAUUCAAGUGGCUGCUCUGGGGACGCAGGCUGUGAAUGUGUACACACUGUGUGUUUCUUAGAAGAAAGAGCUCUAAUCAAUUCAAGGCGUCACUCUACCAAGAUCGAGUUUUGACCCUGAUACAUGUCAGUGACUAAUGUCAUGCGUUUCAAAGCAAAAUGUAGCCCGAUAUUGUCUGGGUAAACCAGGCAUGUAAAUUAACUCAGCCGUAAAACCUUCUUAAAAAUUUUAAAAGAGACAGGCCUUGGCAAGUCAUUAAACUGCAGAACAGCCUAAGUACUUCAGGCUGUCGGCGCUGCCCGCUGCCGGCCUGGAGGUUACGGCGGCAACACCCGCGGCCUGGCAAGGCCGGCGCCUCCGCGGGUGUAGACGUGCCCACACUUGUCCCUAAGGUCGUUGAGGCCGACCCCGCUCUCACGGAGGAGAGGACACGGAGAGGACUGUGAGGCGGGCGCCCAGCCCCAUCUCCCGCCUCCAGCUCCUGGGCUCGGCUGGUGUAGAGGAGGCGUCGAAUGGAAGCGGAGGGAUAGCCGUUCGUCCUUUUUCUGUCCAACACAGCCGACUUUAUGGCCAAGGCCAUAACGGCGUCUUAACCCAUGUGUGGCAGCUGGUGAACUGCAUGGCAUUAAUGUCAUGCCCAGAAAUCUGAAAUUUCUUUUUGUUAUGCUUCGGUUUUUAAUACAGAAACACAUUUGAAAUAUGUUUUCCUGGUAGGGAAUGAGAUUGGCAUAAAGGUAAACAACUGGAAGAUCGUUCAUAGCAAUGAAUUUGUGCAGUGGAUUUUCAUUCCAAAACUUCAGAAAUUAGAGACUGUUCACCAGAUGUUGUUAAAAUUUUUUUUUUACUAAUUAACUACUAAAUUGCUAAAAGGUACACUCUGGCAAGUCCUCUUUUAGCUGAAAAUGUCUGUGUAUUGUUAGCUGUUUAUUGAAUAGAGUAAUUAUACUGCUUUUGCUGUUAAAUGAUAUUGACAUUUUUGAAUGAAGGCUUUUGCCCAGAACUCCUUCCUUCCUUCCGACAGUAACCUUACAUGUGACAUUGAGACAAACAAACAAAAAGCUUGGACACUUGUAUUCUUUUUCCCAUUUCUCUUCCCCAGAUUCUCUGGGUGUGAUUCAUGUUAGAACAUACCUAAACAUGAGGACUUUAUCACUUAUCAUGGAGAUGUUCGGGGUGAAUCACUAGUGAGCUGGUGGCUGCUGGAGCUGGGGUCCAUUUAGCCAUGAAACAGCUGCUUUGCAAACGCUGGGGCAGCUGCUUGGUGAUGGCAAAAAAGGGGAAGAUGAUUCUAAAAUAGACAAUACAACCACCAUCCUUUACAACGUUGCCAGACUGUAAUGCUUCAUACAAUAGGCUUCUUGGGAUGCGGGCGCCGCAGCAGAGCGAAGCUAGUCUCCGGGUGGGAUUGCCUGUUUGCUGCAGGCCUCGUUCUCCACGCAGAGCAUUCUAGUUUAAGAAUCUCUCAACUUAUCUGUUAUAUGACUGGCCCUCCACAAAGCAGCUAUAAUUAGGCCACAGGAAGAGGGUCGUGGUGGGUCGCCCCUGUGCUCUGACACACUCCUUUCUUCUCUGUCCCCAUUCCCACUGCGUAACAGAGCGUGACAGAAACUUGGCUCCACUGUCCCCCAGAACUCCUUCUUCCUUUAAAGACACAGUUCUGAUUCCUGUGGAAGACACGAGUUGAAUGCAGCCCUGUCUCACAAGGAAUCUGUGCAGUGGUUUUCAUUCCAAAAUUCAAGGCAGAUUUUUUUCUUUUAGGUUUCCCUGUCAAAAAGCAGAUUUAGAUGUCAGAAUAAGUCAAAUACAAUCUCAUGCAAAGGCCUAACACCAGCUGCGUCUACACAGCAAAGCACCAGUUGACGAACCAACUCCUUUAAUCCAAGCCCGAGUCUGGAGGCGUUUGUUCUUCUUGAGCACCCAGAAUGGCUCUCGGGAAAGCCCCAAGGUGGCCAGUUUCUUAGUGCGCUGUUUGCUCUGCUUACUUAAAGCCUAUUCCUGUACAGUCAAGGCUUAACCAUGAGGCUGAGAGAUCUAGUCCCUGCCAGUCUGCUCCUCAGCACAGGUGCUGGGAUGUCCUGAAAUAAACAGGAAGACCCCAGCUCUGCA